UACGUAGGGUGCGAGCGUUAAUCGGAAUUACUGGGCGUAAAGCGUGCGCAGGCGGUUUUGUAAGCCGGAUGUGAAAUCCCCGGGCUUAACCUGGGAAUGGCAUUCGGGACUGCAAGGCUGGAGUGCGGCAGAGGAGACUGGAAUUCCUGGUGUAGCAGUGAAAUGCGUAGAUAUCAGGAGGAACACCGAUGGCGAAGGCGGGUCUCUGGGCCGAUACUGACGCUGAGGAGCGAAAGCGUGGGGAGCGAACAGG
rnacentral:rRNA from 1 species